CACGUAGGCGGCCAUUCAAGUCAGAGGUGAAAGCCCGGGGCUCAACCCCGGAACUGCCUUUGAAACUAGAUGGCUUGAAUCUUGGAGAGGCGAGUGGAAUUCCGAGUGUAGAGGUGAAAUUCGUAGAUAUUCGGAAGAACACCAGUGGCGAAGGCGGCUCACUGGACAGGUAUUGACGCUGAGGUGCGAAAGCGUGGGGAGCAAACA
rnacentral:rRNA from 1 species